AAGACACUAGUAAAAUUUAUUACCUUGCCUUGUCGAGGCAAAAUUGUGGGUUAAAUCCCCGCGUGUCUUA
rnacentral:tRNA from 1 species